rnacentral:rRNA from 1 species
UGGGCAACCUGCCCCUCUCUCUGGGAUAACCCCGGGGAAAACCGGAGCUAAUACCGGAUACUCCGGCUGGAUCGCAUGGUCCGGCCGGGAAAGGUCCGCCGGAGAGGGAUGGGCCCGCGGCCUAUCAGCUUGUUGGUGGGGUCAUGGCUCACCAAGGCGACGACGGGUAGCUGGUCUGAGAGGACGACCAGCCACAUUGGAACUGAGACACGGUCCAGACUCCUACAGGAGGCA